CAGCGCCACGAGUGGGAACUACAAUUAUUGGGCCUAAAGCGUCCGUAGCCGGUUUAGUAAAUUUCUUGUGAAAUUGUUGAGCUUAACUUAACAACGUGCAGGAAAGACUGCUAAACUUGGGACUGGGAGGAGUUAGAAGUAUUUUUGGGGUAGCGGUAAAAUGUUAUAAUCCCAAAGAGACUACCUAUGGCGAAAGCAUCUAACUAGAACAGGUCCGACGGUGAGGGACGAAGGCUAGGGGAGCGAACCGGAUUAGAUACCCGAGUAGUCC
rnacentral:rRNA from 1 species